rnacentral:rRNA from 1 species
GAUGAACGCUAGCGGGAGGCCUAACACAUGCAAGCCGAGCGGUAUUGUUUCUUCGGACAUGAGAGAGCGGCGUACGGGUGCGUAACACGUGUGCAACCUGCCUUUAUCUGGGGGAUAGCCUUUCGAAAGGAAGAUUAAUACUCCAUAAUAUAUUGAACGGCAUCGUUUAAUAUUGAAAGCUCCGGCGGAUAGAGAUGGGCACGCGCAAGAUUAGCUAGUUGGUGAGGUAACGGCUCACCAAGGCGAUGAUCUUUAGGGGGCCUGAGAGGGUGAUCCCCCACACUGGUACUGAGACACGGACCAGACUCCUACGGGAGGCAGCAGUGAGGAAUAUUGGUCAAUGGGUGCAAGCCUGAACCAGCCAUCCCGCGUGAAGGACGACUGCCCUAUGGGUUGUAAACUUCUUUUGUAUAGGGAGAAACCUACCCUCGAGAGGGUAGCUGAAGGUACUAUACGAAUAAGCACCGGCUAACUCCGUG